rnacentral:tRNA from 1 species
GGGGGCGUAGUUCAACGGGAGAACGACUGUCUUACAAACAGAAGGCUGGGGGUUCGAUUCCCUCCGCCCCUA